UUCAGGGAGCAAACUGUCACGAGCUGAGCCAUGGACAGUGGUCACGAGGGAGCACAAGUCUUAAGCCAAGACUGGGAGAACCAGGAACAUGCUAAAGGUUCGUUACUCUCCUUCACUGAACAGCACUAUAGAAGACCUCAGAAAAAGAGUAGUAAAUGCAGACUAAGGAGUAAAGAGUCAAUACAAGCUAUAUGGAGGUCCAGAAAAACAGGAAUAUCAAGAAGAAGAAAAUAGAAACCUCCCUUUCUCCCCUAGAGGGAUUUUGCCCAAUUGUUCCAGUGGAGAACUCUUUGAGAUAAAUUGUGAAAAUAUU